CAGGCCAACCCUGUGGCGAGUCCGAGUAGCGUCGGACCGUCGCAACGCGCGGAAAGGAGUGGGCUGCAUUAUUGCGGCUUAAGGUACGUGCUAAACCCUUGGGAAACCAAGCUCGCAGGAUUAGACCCGAUAUGUCGAAGUCUGCGAGGGCCGAGAGGCUGGAUCCGGAGCCCGAUGGGUGUCCCGGAAGUGCUGUGAUGCCCUUAGAUGUUCUGGGCUGCACG
rnacentral:rRNA from 1 species